UGUGUUUCCAUAGAUUAUCUCUGUAUGAAUGUACUUCUUAAAUGAAGGCAAGUGUUUGUCCUUUUUUGUUCCUCAGGUACAGUACGUGAUAUUAAGGGCAGGCGGUCAUCACUGGGGGAAGACAAGAAGCAGACGUACUUCCAAGAGGGAGCUGCAGUGAGGACACAGCCUGGUCACUGAGGUCAGAGGAGGCGCUGAAAGGUUUCCCUAAUAGUUCCUGGUGAAUCAAAGCAGAACCAUAAAGGUUGCUGGACUGCAUGAUGGCCUUACCCCUGAGCAGUCAUCCUGUUAAUGGAGGAACCAGUUAGAAGCUGUUUUCAAAGUAGCUGAGCAGAUUUCACCUCAACAGACAAAGCCGAUGGCAGAAGAUGUUUGGAGAAGAACUUCAGGCCGUGGACUGAAAAGGUAUUUUUUUCUUGUUAUCAAAAGACAUUUGGAGUGACGGCUUCUACAACUGUGCUGAAGUAAAGCUUACAGUCUAAGAAGUCACAGUGUUGAUAUUCAGCACAAAGAGAAAAGCUCACUUGUUUGAAUUUAUUUACAAUCAUAGUUU